AUGGGAUUCAUUUUACAGGAAGAUGCCUGCAGUUCAAACCCCCUUCCUGGAUUUGAAAAGCUGGAAAUGUUCUGCUCUGUGCUUGUGGAGAUUAGCCUGAUAGAGGACAAGCUAUCACUUACCACUGAGCAGAGGAACAAGGUCCUCCAAACCUGGAAUAGCGUGGAGGAGCAUGACAAGCAGCCACAAAAGUUUAACCAGCUGUACAAGACCCACCGGGGCAACACCCUCUACUGCCGCACUAAAAGGGAUGACCUUGUUGAUGCUGCUCUUAUACAGAGAGUAAAGAUGGCGAAGCGCUAUGCACCCGCACAACAUGACAUCAGCGCUCAGAGCAACAGGCUAAUGUACACUCUGGUUAAACUUUUGUGGUUGCGCUCACCUCAGGGGUCUCGCAACAGUCCAGAGAAACUGUCUAUUUUAAAGGCCUACGAGCGAAUACAGCACCGGAUUCUGGUGGAAGAUGCGGUUCUCUGUAAAGCAGGCAUUCCUCUCCCUAAAAUUAACAUCAAGACUGUGCGGGACUUCAUUUGUCAGCAAGAAAGGAUCCUUAAUCUGCAUGCAACAAAACAUCCAUCGAUUUGGACCAAGAUCACCUCCAUCUCAUCUGCACACCUACCUCCAGCACCACACCAACCAGCAGUACUCCCUCCUCCAGACUACCCCCUGUUGAAAUAUGAGCCCACGCCCAGCACUGCAGGGACCAAGGUUUUGAAGGGAAGGAGAGACUUGCUGAUGCCAGUCUCCCAGCCUCAGCCACCUCUUCCACCUGUGCCACUACCACCAGCACUUGGAAAGACCCCCGCAACCUCUACCAUCACCAGACCUGUGUCUUCAGUGGCUGCUUCUACAUCAACCUCUGAGACUGUUCGGCCCCCCAUACUGCAAAAAAAACCCUGCAGCGAGACUAUCCCUGGCAAUAGUGGCCCUGCUACAUCACUCUCUUCCACAUUGGUCAUAACACCCACCAUUAACACACUAGACACUGCAGGCAGACCUUCAGUCUGGGCAAGGGCAACACAGUAUAAGCGUAAGCUUAAGGAUCACCCCUCAGAAGUAGGAGCCAAAGUGUCACGGGUGCAAAACCUUCCCAUUUGCAGAAUCUGCCACCAGCCAACCCAAGGACAUAAAAAAUAUUUUUUAAAAAACUUUCUGCUCUGUAAAAAUGAUGUCCCCAUCAACAGGUCUGAAAAAUAUAGUUUUUAG
rnacentral:lncRNA from 1 species